rnacentral:rRNA from 1 species
UACGUAGGGUGCGAGCGUUAUCCGGAGUCAUUGGGCGUAAAGAGCUCGUAGGCGGUUCAGCAAGUCGGCUGUGAAAGUCCGAGGCUCAACCUCGGAAUUGCAGUCGAUACUGCUGUGACUCGAGUCCGGUAGAGGAGAAAGGAAUUCCCGGUGUAGCGGUGAGAUGCGCAGAUAUCGGGAAGAACACCAGUAGCGAAGGCGGGGCUCUGGGCCGGCACUGACGGUGAGGAUCGAAAGCGUGGGGAGCGUACAGG